rnacentral:rRNA from 1 species
GAUGAACGCUGGCGGCGUGCCUAAUACAUGCAAGUCGAGCGAACGGACGAGAAGCUUGCUUUUCUGAUGUUAGCGGCGGACGGGUGAGUAACACGUGGAUAACCUACCUAUAAGACUGGGAUAACUUCGGGAAACCGGAGCUAAUACCGGAUAAUAUUUUGAACCGCAUGGUUCAAAAGUGAAAGACGGUCUUGCUGUCACUUAUAGAUGGAUCCGCGCUGCAUUAGCUAGUUGGUAAGGUAACGGCUUACCAAGGCAACGAUGCAUAGCCGACCUGAGAGGGUGAUCGGCCACACUGGAACUGAGACACGGUCCAGACUCCUACGGGAGGCAGCAGUAGGGAAUCUUCCGCAAAGGGCGAAAGCCUGACGGAGCAACGCCGCGUGAGUGAUGAAGGUCUUCGGAUCGUAAAACUCUGUUAUUAGGAAAGAACAUAUGUGUAAGUAACUGUGCACAUCUUGACGGUACCUAAUCAGAAAGCCACGGCUAACUACGUG